AGUGAACGCUGGCGGUAUGCCUAACACAUGCAAGUCGAGCGACAGCACAGUAAUAGCUUUCUCUUACGGGUGCCGAGUGGCGGACGAGUGAGGGAUAACUCGGAAUCUACUUUUGCGUGAGGGGGGGCGUAGGGGGACUUACGCGGAUACCGCAUACGACCUACGUGUGGAAGCAGGAGAUAUUCGGACCUUGCGCGAUUGAAUGGGCCGAUGUCGGAUUAGCUAGUUGGCGGGGUAAAGGCCCACCAAGGCGACGAUGCGUAGCUGGUCUGAGAGGAUGAUCAGCCACACUGGAACUGAGACACGGCCCAGACUCCUACGGGAGGCAGCAGUGGGGAAUCUUGGACAAUGGGCGAAAGCGUGAUCCAGCAAUACCGCGUGGGUGAAGAAGGCCUUCGGGUUGUAAAGCCCUUUUGUUGGGAAAGAAAAGCAGGAGGUUAACACCCCGCCGUUCUGACGGUACCCUAAGAAUAAGCCCCGGCUAACUUCGUG
rnacentral:rRNA from 1 species